AGCGGGCUGGGGGCACGUGACCGAGCGGACUCUCGGACACGUGACCGCCGCGGCGGUCUUCUUGGUUUAUCUGUGGCGGGAGAGAGCUGGGAACCUAGACCGGGGACCGGAAUUGGGGACGGCGGAGCUCCGAGGCUUCCCGCCGGUGCCGGCCUCCGCCCUCGUCCCGUGCAGACGGGCCGGCCACCUGCCUGCUGGGCCUUCGGAGUGAGCUGGGCGGCCUCGGUGCCCUCGCCUGUGAGAUGGUCCCAGGGUUGUCCAGGGAACAGCGUUGCCGGAGGCCUGUGGGAGGCAGCGGGGACGUGCACGGCCGUGUGAAGCAGGGCGAUGGCCUGAAGGACCAACCGGGAGUCCCGAAAAGCUGACCGUGGGUGAGGCUGUUGAGCAGAGCAGAGCCCCUGCCCUCGGCUGACUUCCGCCAGGGGUUGUGUGACGGGCCCCUUGGCUUUCGUUGCAGACGAUUGAGCAAGAUACGGCUGGGUGAGUUUGCAGAUCUGAUUGGCCUUAUUCGGCGAUUCCCGAGCGGGACAGCGUCCCAUCCCGCCAGUGGCAAGGAGCUCUGAGGCGCUGUAGAAAACGGGAGGCUCUCCUAGACCUAAGUGGGCCAGAAAAAGGAAGUUUCUAGCAAAGGGUGGCUUCUUUUCAAGCGAGGUCACCUUCCUCUAGCGAGAGACAGGCGUCUGUCAGCCAGAUAACCUCACUAGUGCUAACCAGGUAAUUCUAGAUGACUAGUUAAAUUAGGUCCCGUUCCCGGGAGGGGCUGAAACCGCAGUUAGCUUAGGUAUGAAGCCUUGGAUCGCUGACAAAGGUUUAGCACAAGUGACUCCCAUUUGGGGCCUUUUGUUCCUUUUUUAACGUUGCUGCAACUUUACAACAGCAGUGUCCGUAGUGUACUUGAGGCCUGUAGUCGGGGACAGACUGCUGAGGCCUCGCGGCCUGGAAGUGGAGGAGCCAAGGCUGAACCCAGACAUCAGCCCGACCAACCUGCAGACCCUCAACCAGGUGGCUUUUGCACCCUGAGAAGUGAGCCAACGGGACCACCCUCUCUCCAUGCCCUUGGGAGUCACCCAAACCUUGAGGACGCUCCCUUUUGUCACUGCUGUUGGCUCAAGAUACUGGUGACCCUUGGAGGGCGGGGCCGGGUGCUUCCCAGUCUCCCCUCCCGACUGGGGCAGAACUGGCUGGCGUCUCGAGCCUGUUACACGAGGGACAGGAGGGCCUCAGGCAGAGCCCGGAAGAAGAGAAGCAGUGGGAGGGAGGGGCCUGGAAGCCGGAACUGGAAGGAGGGCGGGAGAAAUGUGCCAGGACCCCAGGAGAACCACCCGCAGCUUGAUCCAUUCCGUUCGACAAGAAUCCGUCAAACACCUGCUGGCUCCAGGCGCUGAGGAUCUAGCAUUAAACAGAAGAGCCCGUGGGUGACCGGUCACCGCGCCCGGACACCAGCCAGGUCGGGAGCCGUGCCACCUUCCGUGAUGGACACACUGGCUACUCUGCGGAAGCGCGUCACCGAAGCCGGGAGUCAACCGACAGAGGUGAGAAAGUGGCAAGGACGGGAAGUGGGGACACUGGAGGCAAAUCCAGGGGCAGCAGCGACGGGGCCAGAAGAAAGAGCUGCGGCCAGAGGGGCCUGGUGAGGCCCACUUGAUGAGAAGGACGAUGUCCCCCCAGAAGUGACGCCGGCCACGCCCCCAUGCCGACGGAGCCCUCGACACGUUUCGCGUCGCCCCGAGUGCGAGUGCGAAGGCCGCGCUGGAAGCUCAUCGCGACGCGGAACAGACAGCGACAACCGACAGAGGUCCAGAAAGGAUGCUCGCGGCACGUCCUAAGUCACAGCGGAAGAGGCGAACACUGUUCAUACUGCUCCUGAUUGCUUUGCAGGAUUUCCGCUUGCAGAAUCACCUUUACUGCCCCAUGCCUCCCUCCCGGCUCCUGGUGGCUGUUGGCAACCUUUUGCGUCCUUGCUUGUAGAGCCAUCACUCCAAUCUCCACCUCCGUCCUCACAUGGCACUCUCCCUGUGUGGGUCAUGUGUCUGGGUCCACGUUUCCCUCUUCUUGUAAGGACACCAGUCACUGGAUUUAGGGCCCACUCUCAUCCAGAAUGACCUCAUCUCAACUUGAUGACAUCUGCAAAGACCCCAAUAUCCAAGCAAGGUCACAUUCACAAGCACCAGGCAUUAGGACUUCAACACGUCUUUUGGGAAACACACUUCAACCCACAACAGGUGGCCUCCCAAAUCCCCAGAUAGCCCAUCAAGUGACUCUUCGUGAGGAUGCAUCUAGAACUUUGCAUCUGUGCCCCCUCUUCUCAAAGUCUUGAGGAAACGAAGGGAUGCAUCACGGCUCCAUUUCGAUCAUGAGACAAACUGCAAAGACCUGGAUUAGACUGGGGAUUGACGUGUGGGGUGACACGUGGGCACUUAGUGUACAUUUGUAAUAUCACAGAAAUCAGCCGUGACAGUUUCUUUACAAUUAGGCUUUGAUGUGCAUGUAACUUAGUUGCUGAGUGAUUUUUUUUUUUUUUAAUUUCUGCCCUUUUAGAAUCACCUGGUAAUUCAUCUGGAGUGAAUAGAAGUACUCUGUUUACUUACUUAUGCUCCAGAUGUUUAUUCUGCACCCACAGCAAGCAAGACACAGUUCCAAGCACAGACACACUGAUUUGCCAUUACCAAGAGAAAACCCUUGACCUCAUGGAAUCACAUUCUAAUUAGGGGCACAGACCAUGAGUGAGGAGCACAGAUGGUACUGUGCAGAGAAGCAUGCCCUGAAGAAAAUAAAGGGGCGAGUGGUGGGGAAGGUGGUCAAAGAGAGCCCUUCUGAAGGGUCAUGCUUGAGCAGAAGGCUGAUGAAGAGAAGGAGUGAGCCCUUUAAGACUCUGGAGGAAGAGUAUUCUAGAACAAGGGAAAGACCCUCAGGCCGAGGCAUGCCUGGUGUCAUCGGGGACAACAGAAGGUCAGCACACCAAGGCGGCCAGAGGGAUGAGUCUGAAGGGCAGGCCAAGGACCAGAUCACUCAGAGCCUAAGUGGGCAAGCCAAGGACGGUUCUCCCUCUAAGCGGGAUGUGAAGCCACAGAGAACCGGCCACUCUGACCUAUGUUUAGAAAGAUGUUCCCCAAGGGCCUGCAGGCAGCUCUUCGGCCGCCCAGGGGAGGGCCAGAGGGGUUUGACCGAGAGCCCAUAGCGCCACAGUGCAGCAGGAAGGAAGAGGUCAGAUUUGGGAGAUAAUUUGGGGAGAAUGGCAGAGUUGGCUGUCGGGCCGGAUGGAGACAUGCGGGAAUAUGAGAGGCACCAAGGGACACUCUGGGCAGAGGGGUGAGGGAGCGGUGUUUGCUGAGAUAAGGGGCUUUGGGGAAGGAAGAAUUCCGUUCUGGACAAAGAACGGGUAGGAAAAUAGAAACGCAUAGCAAGAUAGUGACUUAAUCCAGCCAUGUCGAUCAUCACCCCAAAGGAAGAACAGAGAUUAGCCAAUAGGGUUUUUAAAAAGCAAAAACCAGGGGCGCCUGGGUGGCUCAGUCGGUUGGGUGUCUGACUUCGGCUCAGGUCGUGAUCUUGCAGUCUAUGAGUUUGAGCCCUGCAUGGGGCUCUGUGCUGACAGCUCAGAACCUGGAGCCUGCUUCGGAUUCUCUGUCUCUCUCUGCCCCUCCCCUGCUCUUACUGUGUCUCUCUUAAAAGUAAAAUAAAAACAUAAAAAAUUAAACAGCUAUGUGCUUCCUAUAAGAAACCCACGGUUUUUUUUAAUGUUUAUUUUUGAGAGACAGAGAGAGACAGCGUGAGUGGGAGAGGGGCAGAGAGAGAGGGGGACAGAGAAUCCGAAGUGGGCUCUUUGGUGGAAGAG